rnacentral:tmRNA from 2 species
GGGGCUGAUUCUGGAUUCGACGGGAUUUGCGAAACCCAAGGUGCAUGCCGAGGGGCGGUUGGCCUCGUAAAAAGCCGCAAAAAAAUAGUCGCAAACGACGAAAACUACGCUUUAGCAGCUUAAUAACCUGCUCUGAGCCCUCUCUCCCUAGCUUCCGCUCUUAAGACGGGGAUCAAAG